rnacentral:rRNA from 1 species
UACGUAGGGUGCAAGCGUUGUCCGGAAUUAUUGGGCGUAAAGAGCUCGUAGGCGGUUUGUCGCGUCUGCUGUGAAAACCCAGGGCUUAACCCUGGGCCUGCAGUGGGUACGGCAAGCUAGAGUGCGGUAGGGGAGAUCGGAAUUCCUGGUGUAGCGGUGAAAUGCGCAGAUAUCAGGAGGAACACCGGUGGCGAAGGCGGUCUCUGGCAUUACCUGACGCUGAGGAGCGAAAGUGUGGGAGGCGAACAGG